rnacentral:rRNA from 1 species
GAUGAACGCUGGCGGCGUGCUUAACACAUGCAAGUCGAACGGGAAUUAUUUUAUUGAAACUUCGGUCGAUUUCAUUUAAUUCUAGUGGCGGACGGGUGAGUAACGCGUGGGUAACCUGCCUUAUACAGGGGGAUACCAGUCAGAAAUGGCUGCUAAUACCGCAUAAGCGCACAGAGCUGCAUGGCCCCGUGUGAAAAACUCCGGUGGUAUAAGAUGGAUCCGCGUUGGAUUAGCUUGUUGGCAGGGUAACGGCCUACCAAGGCGACGAUCCAUAGCCGGCCUGAGAGGGUGAACGGACACAUUGAGACUGAGACACGGCCCAGACUCCUACGCGAGGCAGCAGUGGGGAAUAUUGCACAAUGGGGGAAAUCCUGAUGCAGCGACGCCGCGUGAAGGAAGAAGUAUCUCGGUAUGUAAACUUCUAUAAGCAGGGAAGAUAGUGACGGUACCUGACGAAGAAGCCCCGGCUAACUACGUG